rnacentral:rRNA from 1 species
UACGAGGGGGCGGAGCGUUGUUCGGAAUUAUUGGGCGUAAAGGGUGCGUAGGCGGCCUGUUAAGUCGGGUGUGAAAGCCCUGGGCUCAACCCAGGAAGUGCACUCGAAACUGGCAGGCUUGAAUAUGGAAGAGGGUCGCGGAAUUCCCGGUGUAGAGGUGAAAUUCGUAAGAUAUCGGGAGGAACACCAGUGGCGAAGGCGGCGACCUGGGCCAAUAUUGACGCUGAGGUGCGAAAGCGUGGGGAGCAAACAGG